UACAGAGGUGGCAAGCGUUGUUCGGAAUUACUGGGCGUAAAGCGCACGUAGGCGGUCCGUUAAGUCAUGUGUGAAAUCCCCCGGCUCAACCGGGGAAUUGCGCCUGAUACUGGCGGGCUAGAGGUCGAUAGGGGUGAGCGGAACUCCAGGUGGAGCGGUGAAAUGCGUAGAUAUCUGGAGGAACACCGGUGGCGAAAGCGGCUCACUGGAUCGAAACUGACGCUGAGGUGCGAAAGCUAGGGUAGCAAACGGG
rnacentral:rRNA from 1 species